rnacentral:rRNA from 1 species
GACGAACGCUGGCGGCGUGCCUAAUACAUGCAAGUCGAGCGGACUGAAUGGGAGCUUGCUCUUGUUCGGUCAGCGGCGGACGGGUGAAUAACACGUGGGCAACCUGCCCGCAAGACCGGGAUAACUCCGGGAAACCGGAGCUAAUACCGGAUAACACCGAAGACCGCAUGGUCUUUGGUUGAAAGGCGGCGCAAGCUGCCACUUGCGGAUGGGCCCGCGGCGCAUUAGCUAGUUGGUGAGGUAACGGCUCACCAAGGCGACGAUGCGUAGCCGGCCUGAGAGGGUGACCGGCCACACUGGGACUGAGACACGGCCCAGACUCCUACGGGAGGCAGCAGUAGGGAAGCUUCCGCAAUGGGCGAAAGCCUGACGGAGCGACGCCGCGUGAGCGAAGAAGGCCUUCGGGUCGUAAAGCUCUGUUGUGAGGGACGAAGGAGCGCCGUUUGAAGAAGGCGGCGCGGUGACGGUACCUCACGAGGAAGCCCCGGCUAACUACGUG